CAGCCGCCGCGGUAAUACGUAGGUGGCAAGCGUUGUCCGGAAUUAUUGGGCGUAAAGGGCUCGCAGGCGGUUUCUUAAGUCUGAUGUGAAAGCCCCCGGCUCAACCGGGGAGGGUCAUUGGAAACUGGGAAACUUGAGUGCAGAAGAGGAGAGUGGAGUUCCACGUGUAGCGGUGAAAUGCGUAGAGAUGUGGAGGAACACCAGUGGCGAAGGCGACUCUCUGGUCUGUAACUGACGCUGAGGAGCGAAAGCGCGGGGAGCGAACAGGAUUAGAUACCCCAGUAGUCCCUGUCUCUUAUAA
rnacentral:rRNA from 1 species